AGUCGAGGGGUAUAGGUUUUCGGACCUAGAGACCGGCGCACGGGUGCGUAACGCGUAUGCAAUCUACCUUUUGCAGAGGGAUAGCCCAGAGAAAUUUGGAUUAAUACCUCAUAGUAUAAUGACUCGGCAUCGAGAUAUUAUUAAAGUCACAACGGCAAAAGAUGAGCAUGCGUCCCAUUAGCUAGAUGGUAAGGUAACGGCUUACCAUGGCUACGAUGGGUAGGGGUCCUGAGAGGGAGAUCCCCCACACUGGUACUGAGACACGGACCAGACUCCUACGGGAGGCAGCAGUGAGGAAUAUUGGACAAUGGGCGCAAGCCUGAUCCAGCCAUGCCGCGUGCAGGAUGACGGUCCUAUGGAUUGUAAACUGCUUUUGUACAGGAAGAAACAACGCUACGUGUAGCGUCUUGACGGUACUGUAAGAAUAAGGAUCGGCUAACUCCGUGCCAGCAGCCGCGGUAAU
rnacentral:rRNA from 1 species